rnacentral:rRNA from 1 species
GACGAACGCUGGCGGCGCGCUUAACACAUGCCAGUCGAACGGAAAGGCCUGCUUUCCCUUGUGGAUUGCGGGUACUCGAGUGGCGAACGGGUGAGUAACACGUGAGUGAUCUGCCCCCAACUUGGGUAUAAGCCUGGGAAACUGGGUCUAAUUCCCGAUAGGACUGCAGGGUGGUGCCUGUGGUGGAAAACGAUUUUCUAGUGGUUGGGGAUGAGCUCGCGGCCUAUCAGCUUGUUGGUGGGGUAAUGGCCUACCAAGGCGGCGACGGGUAGCCGGCCUGAGAGGGUGGACGGCCACAUUGGGACUGAGAUACGGCCCAGACUCCUACGGGAGGCAGCAGUGGGGAAUAUUGCACAAUGGGCGGAAGCCUGAUGCAGCGACGCCGCGUGGGGGAUGACGGCCUUCGGGUUGUAAACUCCUUUCGACCGCGAGGAAGCCACCUGGUUGGAGGGGUGGUGACGGUAGUGGUAGAAGAAGCACCGGCUAACUACGUG